rnacentral:rRNA from 1 species
UUUAGAUCCACCUAGAGGAGCCUGUUCUAGAACCGAUAACCCCCGUUCAACCUCACCUUUCCUUGUUUUUCCCGCCUAUAUACCGCCGUCGUCAGCUUACCCUCUGAAGGUCUAAUAGUAAGCAAGACUGGUACAACCUAAAACGUCAGGUCGAGGUGUAGCGUAUGGAAGGGGAAGAAAUGGGCUACAUUCGCUACUACAGCGAACACGGAUGGUGCACUGAAACGUGCGCCUGAAGGAGGAUUUAGCAGUAAGCGGGAAAUAGAGCGUCCCGCUGAAAUCGGCCCUGAAGCGCGCACACACCGCCCGUCACUCUCCCCGAAAACAACCACUCAGUUAAUUAAAACCUAAUAAUCAUAGAGGGGAGGCAAGUCGUAACAUGGUAAGUGUACCGGAAGGUGCACUUGGAAAAAUC